GGCACCGUAGCUCAGUGGUAGAGCAGGGGAAUCAUAAUCCCUUGGUCGCUGGUUCAAAUCCGGCCGGUGCUACCA
rnacentral:tRNA from 1 species